rfam:Cyphomyrmex costatus contig24509, whole genome shotgun sequence.
ACUUCGGUAGUCUAAUUGGCUAGAACACUUGCGCGUAAAACAAGCAAUCCGGGUUCGACUCCCGGCCAAGGUA